UUCCGGUUGAUCCUGCCGGAGGCCAUUGCUAUUGGGAUCCGAUUUAGCCAUGCUAGUUGCACGAGUUCACACUCGUAGCGAAUAGCUCAGUAACACGUGGCCAAACUACCCUUCGGAACACAAUACCCUCGGGAAACUGAGGCUAAUAGUGUAUACCACACUCACUCUGGAAUGACAAGUGUGCCAAACGCUCCGGCGCCGAAGGAUGUGGCUGCGGCCGAUUAGGUAGACGGUGGGGUAACGGCCCACCGUGCCGAUAAUCGGUACGGGUGGUGAGAGCCAGAACCCGGAGACGGAAUCUGAGACAAGAUUCCGGGCCCUACGGGGCGCAGCAGGCGCGAAACCUUUACACUGCACGACAGUGCGAUAAGGGGAUCCCAAGUGCGCAGGCAUAGAGCCUGCGCUUUUGUACACCCUAGGGAGGUGCACGAAUAAGGGCUGGGCAAGACCGGUGCCAGCCGCCGCGGUAAUACCGGCAGCCCAAGUGAUGGCCGAUCUUAUUGGGCCUAAAGCGUCCGUAGCUGGCCGCGCAAGUCCAUCGGGAAAUCCACCUGCUCAACAGGUGGACGUCCGGUGGAAACUGCACGGCUUGGGACCGGAAGGCGCGACGGGUACGUCCGGGGUAGGAGUGAAAUCCCGUAAUCCUGGACGGACCGCCGAUGGCGAAAGCACGUCGCGAAAACGGAUCCGACAGUGAGGGACGAAAGCUAGGGUCUCGAACCGGAUUAGAUACCCGGGUAGUCCUAGCCGUAAACAAUGCCUGCUAGGUGUGGCUCCCACUACGAGUGGGUGCUGUGCCGUAGGGAAGCCGCUAAGCAGGCCGCC
rnacentral:rRNA from 1 species